rnacentral:rRNA from 1 species
UAUAUUAUAAAUGUUGUUAGUUUACGAUAAGAAUGAAUAAGGGAAUAUAAGAAAAUCAAUUUUAUUGAAAUUUAAAAAAGUUGAGUAGAGGUUAUUGAAAUAAAGCAAAUAUUGACGAUAGAGCAAAAGUACUGAAAGGGAAAAGGAAAUGAAUUGGGUUACUAAUUGUUAUAGUAGAAUUAAAUAAUUGUACCUUGUGUAUCAGGGAAAAUUAAAUUUUAUUAAAUAUAUUAAUUAUCUCGAAAUAAAAAUAGCUAAUUAUAUAAGGAAGUUUUUGUAAUAUAAGAAUUUUAAAUAUAUAAUUAAAGAUGAAAUAUCAUACGAGUUUUAUUAUAUCUAGUUUUCUAAGAAUAAAUAUAAUUUAGGGUUUAAAGAUAUGAAAUUUAAAGUCUAAGAGCAGGAGGGGUUAGCUUCUUGUUCAAUAAAAUUGAAAUAAUAGUUAAAUAAAUAAAAUAAUUUUUUCUAGGCUUAAAAAUAGCUAUGAACAUAAAGUGUUUUUAUUAAAAAUAAGUUAAUAAGAAUUAUUUGUUUUAACUUUAAUAAGUAUUAGAAUAUUAAUUGAAGUUUUGUCGACUAAGUUGUAAUGAUUUUAUUAGUAUAAUUAGUGUUUAUAUAGAGAAUUAUAAUUUUUUUAAAAAUAAUUUAAAAAAAAAAUGAUAUUAUAAAGGAAUUCGGCAAAUAUUAUUCCUUGCCUGUUUAUCAAAAACAUGUCCGUUUGAAGAUAUAAAUGGUCUAGCCUGCUCACUGAUGAAUAAUAUUAUUUAAGAGCCGCGGUAUACUGACCGUGCAAAGGUAGCAUAAUAAUUAGUUUUUUAAUUGGGAACUUGUAUGAAUGGUUGGACAAAGGAAUAUCUGUCUACUGUAGUAUAAAUUGAAAUUAACUUUUAAGUGAAAAGGCUUAAAUAUUCCAGGGGGACGAUAAGACCCUAUAAAGCUUUAUAUGUUGAUUGGAUUUAAUUAAAGUAAAGAAAGUUAAAGAUUUAGUUUAAUUAUCAUAUUUUAUUGGGGCGAUAUGGGUAUAAUUUAUGUUAACUGCUUAAAUGUAAUACAUUAAGAUAAAUGAUUUAAAGUUUAAAUGAUCCUUUAUAGAGAUUAAAAGACUAAGUUACUUUAGGGAUAACAGCGUUAUUUUUUUUGAGAGUUCAUAUCGAAAAAAAAGUUUGCGACCUCGAUGUUGAAUUAAAAUGUCUAUAUAAUGCAGCAGUUAUAUAAGAAGGUCUGUUCGACCUUUAAAUUUUUACAUGAUUUGAGUUCAGACCGGUGUAAGCCAGGUCGGUUUCUAUCUCUUGGAAGUGAUAUAAAUUAUUUUAGUACGAAAGGAUUAAAUAAUUAAAAUUUUUUUUUAAUCUAUGAAAU